UACGGAGGGUGCAAACGUUGUUCGGAAUCAUUGGGUGUAAAGCGCGCGUAGGCGGCCGUGCAGGUCGGGUGUGAAAUCCCAGGGCUCAACCCUGGAAUUGCGCUCGAAACCGUUCGGCUUGAGUCCUGGAGGGAGAAGUGGAAUUCUAGGUGUAGGGGUGAAAUCCGUAGAUAUCUAGAGGAACACCAGUUGCGAAGGCG
rnacentral:rRNA from 1 species